AUUGAACGCUGGCGGCAGGCCUAACACAUGCAAGUCGAGCGAGCGGAGGACGGGUGAGUAAUGUAUGGGGACUGCCCGAUAGAGGGGGAUAACUACUGGAAACGGUAGUUAAUACCGAAUACUAUCGGAUAACCAAUAUGGGAUUAGCUAGUAGGUGAGGUAAUGGCUCACAUAGGCGAAGAUCCCUAGCUGGUCUGAGAGGAUGAUCAGCCACACUGGUACUGAACCACGGCCCGGACGCCUACGGAGGAAGCAGUGGGGAAUAUCGCACAAGGGGCGCAAGCCUGAUGCAGCCAUGCCGCGUGUAUGAAGAAGUCCUUAGGGUUGUAAAGUAUUUUCAGUCGGGAGGCGUUACCGACAGAAAAAGCGCCGGCUAACUGCGUGCCAGCAGCCGCGGUAAUAC
rnacentral:rRNA from 1 species